rnacentral:miRNA from 1 species
AGAUGAUACCUCUGGAGAAGCG